UUUGAGAGGGAUGAAUCCACACCUGCAACAAAAACAAAAAAAAAGGGACUUACUAAAAUACCAAAAUAAGAACUAAAUUAACCAAGAUGCUAGAUCUUAGCAAGACUAUCUAUAUUUUUUAUCAUAACUUUCUACCUUGUGCUCCAAAAUGUGGAAACAUAUUUAUGUCAACAUGAUAGAAGAAACAAAUACCCAAGUCCUUGACAUAUGAGAUGUAAUGAAUACAUACCAAAGAGAUGGUUCUCCCGGAGAGUGUCCAUGUCCAUGGUGUC
rnacentral:misc_RNA from 1 species